UACGGAGGGUGCAAACGUUGCUCGGAAUUAUUGGGCGUAAAGCGCACGUAGGCGGUCCCUUAAGUCGGGUGUGAAAGCCCUCGGCUUAACCGAGGAAGUGCAUUCGAAACUGGGGGACUUGAAUACUGGAGAGGAUGGCGGAAUUCCCGGUGUAGAGGUGAAAUUCGUAGAUAUCGGGAGGAACACCAGCGGCGAAGGCGGCCAUCUGGACAGAUAUUGACGCUGAGGUGCGAAAGCGUGGGGAGCAAACAGG
rnacentral:rRNA from 1 species